rnacentral:rRNA from 1 species
CCUACGGGAGGCAGCAGUAGGGAAUCUUCCACAAUGGGCGAAAGCCUGAUGGAGCAACGCCGCGUGGGUGAAGAAGGUCUUCGGAUCGUAAAACUCUGUUUUUAGAGAAGUAAGUGCGUGAGAGUAACUGUUCACGUUUCGACGGUAUCUAACCAGAAAGCCACGGUUAACUACGUGCCAGCAGCUGCGGUAAUACGUAGGUGGCAAGCGUUAUCCGGAUUUAUUGGGGGUAAAGGGAACGCAGGCGGUCUUUUAAGUCUGAUGUGAAAGCCUUCGGCUUAACCGGAGUAGUGCAUUGGAAACUGGGAGACUUGAGUGCAGAAGAGGAGAGUGGAACUCCAUGUGUAGCGGUGAAAUGCGUAGAUAUAUGGAAGAACACCAGUGGCGAAAGCGGCUCUCUGGUCUGUAACUGACGCUGAGGUUCGAAAGCGUGGGUAGCAAACAGGAUUAGAUACCCCGGUAGUC